rnacentral:rRNA from 1 species
UGGGGAAUAUUGGACAAUGGGCGAAAGCCUGAUCCAGCCAUGCCGCGUGUGUGAAGAAGGCCUUUUGGUUGUAAAGCACUUUAAGCGAGGAGGAGGCUACUUGGAUUAAUACUCUAGGAUAGUGGACGUUACUCGCAGAAUAAGCACCGGCUAACUCUGUGCCAGCAGCCGCGGUAAUACAGAGGGUGCGAGCGUUAAUCUGAUUUACUGGGCGUAAAGCGUGCGUAGGCGGCUUCUUAAGUCGGAUGUGAAAUCCCUGAGCUUAACUUAGGAAUUGCAUUCGAUACUGGGAAGCUAGAGUAUGGGAGAGGAUGGUAGAAUUCCAGGUGUAGCGGUGAAAUGCGUAGAGAUCUGGAGGAAUACCGAUGGCGAAGGCAGCCAUCUGGCCUAAUACUGACGCUGAGGUACGAAAGCAUGGGGAGCAAACAGG